AAACAUGGUAUUUGAGAAUUUAAAAUGUGUGGAUUACAUUAUAUUUCUGUUGGACAUUGCUGGGUUAUAGCCUCAUAGGCCUUUCGCAACCAGGAUUUCAUGAGAGAAUUAAGCCUUGUGCCUGAAGGUCCAUUGUAUGUAAUGAAUGUACCAUCUCAGGAGAGUUAAGAAACAGUCACUCAAAUCAUUUUCUGUGCUCUGUGGUUCAGAUAAGAAACUUAGAUGAGAAAGGCUGUAGCACCUGUUGUUACUCUUUUUUCUGUUGUUGCAUGCAUUUACUGUUCAUUUUUUAUUUUAUUUUAUUUUAUUUUAUUUUUGAGAUGGAGUCUUGCUUUGUCGCCCAGGCUGGAGUGCAGUGGUGCAAUCUCGGCUCACUGCAAGCUCUGCUUCCCGGGUUCAUGCCAUUCUCCUUCCUCAGCCUCCCGAGUAGCUGUGACUACAGGUGCCCGCCACCAUGCCUGGCUAAUUUUUUGUAUUUUUAGUAGAGACAGGGUUUCACCAUGUUAGUCAGGAUGGUCUCGAUCUCCAGACCUUGUGAUCCACCCACCUCGGCCUCCCAAAAUGCUGGGAUUACAGGUGUGAGCAACCGCGCCUGGCUGCUGUUCAUUAUUUUUUAUUGCUUACUAAUAAUAUUCCAUUGUAUAAAUGUACCACAACUUGUCUGUCCAUUCUGCUGCUUGACAUUUGUGUUUCCAGGUUGAGGCUGUUAUUUAACUUUGAUUUUAAGUUCAAGGGUGCAUGUGCAGGGCGUGCAGGUUUGUUAUACAGGUAAACAUGUGUCAUGGGGGGUUUGUUGUUUCAAAUUUCAAUUCAAAUUCCUGUAGUGUUUCUCUCAAUUGUAUAAUGAGGGCUGUUGGUUUGAGACAGAUACUACUAAGCUUCUAAGUUGUUUUUCUCUUUUUUAAAAUCUCAGAUGAAUGUUACAUUUUUCCAAUUACCAUUUCAAUAUCUAUUGAGAGGAUCAUAUCACUUUUUUAUCUUGGAAUUAUCAAUAUGCUUGUUUGAUUAUUAACAUUAGCUGAUUCCUGUAUUUCUUAGCCAAACUUGUUAAGUUUGGGGAUUUUUUUUUCCGUCACUUUUUGUGCUGUGGUAUAAACUAUUUGCCAUAAGAAUUAUGUAUUCUUCAAAAGCCUGAGAGAACUCACUGGUAAAACCAUGUGGUCUUGGAACCUUUGGUUUAACUUUUCUCGUUUCUUGCAGGGUUUUUAGCAUACUCAUCAAAUAUAGAAAAGUUUCAGUUAGUCAAAAAUAGAAGGCAGUGCGAAGAUUAGGUCAGAGCCUGCACCUUCCUGUGAAGCAGGUACUUCCAAAAAUUUCAUUUUGUAUUCCCAGCAAUAGUCAGGAUGACCCUGCAGCACAUGAGGAUCAACAUUAAGAAAGAUUGAACUGUGCUGAGACACAUGAAUUGCAAUGGGAAAAGUGAGCAACAAGUUAGAGAUUGCAGAAAACCAAAGUAAUAAAUUAAGGGACAAACUACAAUUUUCUUCUGAAACUCAGAGCAAAAACAAAGGAAGAUGAAUGUGAUGAAUUGUUUCUAGGAGAUGUCAUGUGUGUAUAUCACAGGAAUUCUAAAAAGGAAGGGUGGGCAGAUGUGAGAAAAUGUUUGUAAUGUAUUAAGGACAAAAGCAGAUUAUAAAACCACAGCUAUAGUAUGAGCUCAGUUGAGAGCCAGUGUGUGUGCAUGUGUGUGCCCCUGCACCUGUGAGUGUGGGCAUAGCUACCGGCCAUGGAUGUGCUCUGUGGCUGAGGGUCCAGGCUCCAGAGGCAACAGGCCUAGGUUUAGUCCUGGCUCUCAUAUUGAACACAUAUGAGGAUUUGAGCAAAUUGUUGAACUUCUCCAGCUAUGCCUCUAUUUCUUCAUCUGUAAAAUGGGGCAAUAAUAGUACCUAUUUCAUAGGGGUGUUGUGAGAAUUCAGGGAGCAAUGGAUAAAUAUAUGUAAAAUUACUGACAUUGUGCCUGACACUUAGAAAGUGUCCUCAGUAAAUGUUAUUGUUUUUAUUGUCAUUAUUAUAAACCAAAAUGUAAACUUUAGUUUUCUCUGAGUGUUAAGGCUAAUAGGUAAUUUAAAUUUUCUUCAUUGGAGGCCAGGCCCAUCUGCCUAUAGUUCCAGUUACUCGGGACGCUUAGGCAGGAGGAUUGCUUGAGCCCAGGAGUUUAAGGCCAGCCUAAGCAAUGUAAUAAGACCCUGCCGGCCAGGCUUGGUGGCUCGCAGUUGUAAUCCCAGCACUUUGCGAGGCCGAGGCAGGUGGAUCACUUGAGGUCAAGAGUUUGAGACCAGCCUGGCCAACAUGGUGAAACCCCGUCUCUACUAAAAAUACAAAAACUUAGCCGGGCAUAUUGGUGCACCUGUAAUACCAGCUACUCGGGAGGCUGAGGCAGGAGAAUUGCUUGAAUCCUGGAGGUGGAGGUUGUGAGCUGAGAUCGCACCAUUGCACUCCAGCCUGGGCAACAAAGGGAGACUCUGUCUCAAAAAAAAAAAAAAAGGCAUUCAGAUUUUUAAAAAAAGUUCUUCAUUGGGCUUCUGUAUCAUGCAGGUUUUCUGUAAUGAACAUGUAUUAGGUCCCUAAUUAAAAAAAAGAAAAGUUUUUCUUCUUCUUCUUUUUUUUUUUUUUUUUUAAAGAGAACAUCUGAAUGAUGUAUUCGGAAAAAAACAUUUCCCAAGAAUAUGGAGAAAGGGAAUUGAACAUAAUUCCCAGUGUAAGAGUGGAAUGAGCAUGUGGCCCUGUGGGCCUAGUCCCAGUUUGUUAAUCUUGUGAGCAGAGCUGCUGGCGGCUGCUCUCAGUCCGCUAAUCGGGCUCUUUCUCUGUCACGUGGACAGGAGACUGCUCACAGGGUUGCAGUUGGCUGCUGCCCUGCGUUGACAGCUGGUUCUAAUUGUGCAGAGCUACGUAGUACUAGGGCUGGAGAGGGAAGGUUUUGGGAAAUUUGCAUCAUCUUCCUGACCCUAAGUCUGUAUGUUUUCCAAGCAGAUGGUAGCUUGAGGAUUUGAUGAAACAGUAGUGACUGUAAAUGAGUUGUUAUUCUAUAGAAACUAGUAUGACCUGAAAGCUGAGAAAGAUAAAUUGCUUCUGCUUAUUCAGUGAGUACAUAUAUGUGUAUACUGAUUUCACUGGAGGCACCAUUUUUCCACAGUGAUCCUUUCCCCCUCUUGUGGUUUGUCUAGCCAGGGGUUCUGGGGCCUCGGGAGGCCCUCAUGUUCAUUUCUUCCACGGCCCAUACUGCCUCCUCCCUUUCUCCACACACACAGCCCUUAACAGGUAUUUAUUUCAAAUUACCAAAGUGAGUUGCUCUCACAUAAGAAAAUGCAAAUAUCCCGUGCACUUACCAAACUUGAUUCUAGUAUAGUAGAAGGUGCUUAAAGGGUUUGGGCCCUCUCUGCCGUGCUCUCCCUCAUGGCAUCAGGGCAAUACAGCCUACCAAACACUCCAUGUGAGGGUUUGGGGAGCCACCUCUGCCCAGUCCCUACGUUGUUUUCCCAUCCCAUGCAGAAAAAAAAAAAAAAUUGCACUCUUUACCUUCCCUUAAGGCUGGGACCUGGCCUCCCACCCCUGUCCUGUCUCACUGUUUCUUCUCCCACUCCUCCCCAGGCUCCUUCUGCUCCAGCCAUGGGCUACCUUGCUGUUCUCAGAUAUCUCAUGGUGUUCCUGAAUCAGGGUCUUGACCCGUGCACUUCACUUCCUUCUGCCUGGGACCCUCCUCCCCUAGAUACCUGCAGAGCAUGCUCCUUUACCUCAUUCCUGUCUCUACUCCAUGCCAGCUUGUCAGACAGGCCUGCUGAGACAUCCCCUCCAAAUAUUCCUACCUUCAUCCUCAUUCAUGCUUUUUCGCAGGAGUUAUCAUCUGACUUAUUAUGAUUUCUUUAGAAAUCUCUCUUCUCCUGUAGAAGAAAGAACUAAAGAUACCUCAGUCCACUGGCAGCUCCCAGAAGGCUUGGACCUAGGCAAUGUCUAUUAGGACUGCAACCUUGGGAAAUAAAGCAGGAAAGUCCA